rnacentral:lncRNA from 1 species
CCGAUCGGCGCGCGGGGGCGGCGGCAGUGGCAGUAGCGCCUUGACAGGGCUGUGGCGCUGCUGUAGGCGCGACAGAGGAGCAGCAGUCGCGAUCUGGGCUUGCUGGCGCGACGUGGAGCUGCUCUGUGAAGGUGCGACUUGCAGCAGUGAGCUACAGCAGUAGCGUGCGGUGGUCGAUCUGCUCCAACUUGCAGGCGCAGCACAACAGUAGGGAAGAAGAAAGAAAGAAAGGAAAAGAAAAGGAAAGGAAAGAAAAGAAAGAAAGGAAGAAGAAGAAAAAGAAGAAGAAGAAGAAAAGAGGAGGUGGAGGAGGAGUGGUGAUCGGAGGUGGUGUCGCUGGUGGUCAAGAAGCGCAGAAAAAAAAACGGGGGAGGGGAGUGAGGUGUGUGCUAGAAAUAGAGGAAAAAAAAGAAAAUUCUAGAUGGUUUGGGUCCAACCGGUUCGAUUCGGUUCGGUUCGGCCCAAAUCUUCGGUUUCCAAUUGGUUUACGGGUUUUUCAAUCGAUUUUUGGUUCGGUUUCCCACAGAGUUCACAUUAAAAUAUUAAAAUAAAUUUCCAAGCUGUCGGUUUAUUAAAUUUAAUUGGAAAAUCUUUGAAAAUAAAAAUUCGAGUUGUUUCAGGUAAAUACACUAAUUAAUUUUAAUUUCGUUAAAUUAUUUAAUUGUUUUAUAAAAAAAUAUUAUUUUAGAAAUUAAACGUCUUAUAACAUUUAAUUAUUUGAUUAUUUAUAUUUAAUAUAACAUUACAUAUUAAUUAGUCUCUCAUAUUUACAAUUGAAUUACUAUAUCGUGUCAAUUAAUAGCAAAAAAAAUAUAUUUUUUUUGAACCGACGAUUUAAUAGAUUAAUAAAUUAAAUUCAAAUACUUUCUUUUCAAAGGUUAAUUCAAAUACUUUAUAAAUUAAUUAAUGUAUUUAUUAAAUAAAAAAUGUGAAAUUAUAAUUAUAAGCAUUUUUGAGAGAUCAACAAUUAUUUGCAUUUCUUCUAAAUAAACAGUUAUUUGCGCUUCUUUCUAGUAUAAUUUAUCUUAUAUGUUAUUAAAAUAAAUAAAUAAGACACUUAUAUAAAAAUAAAUAAAUAUAUUAACUAUUUUAAUAAUUCAUAUAUAUUUUAAUCACUAUACUGUUUUAUUAGCUAUUAUAAAUUUGAGAAUGUACGCAAGAAGUGACGUAGCAAACUAAAUUCCAAACCUCCGGUAUUAGUUCGAAUGUCAUUUUUUGUUUUGUACAUAUAUGCCAUUUCUUUAUUUCUAGAGUAAAUAAUUAUUUAAUUUUUUAUAAUUACAAUUGCAUCCCUUUCAUUUGGUAUUUAUAUUAAUUAAUUCUAAAUAUUUAGUCCCAUUAAACUAUUUAAUCAUAAAUUUAGGGGGUUAAAUUACUUUAUAAUAUAUCCGAUCCUUUAUAUAAAUGUUUGUCAAGUCCAUAAUGAAUAUUUAUAUUCCAUCAAGUUCAAAUCCGAUAAAUAAGCUUAUUUCAUUAUUGUUGUAUUAGUAAGUUGAAGUUACAAUAAACUGUUUAUAAAACGAACCAAACGAUUAUUUUAUAUUAAAAAAAUUUUCCUGAUAGCCUCAAAUUUGACUACCAAAUUAUUUUGCAAGGGAAGACUUUCUAAUUGCCUCAAAUUUGGCUACCAGUUUAUCUCUAGGUGGCCAGUUUUCUUGAAUGACUGGGGCAUUUGCAAAUUCUUGUAUCCACUGUACUAGUAGUGGAAAUUUUUGUUGGUCUAUGAGUUUAAAACCAAGUAUCUCCUCAAAUACACCAUUAUGGUGAGCAAGCCACCCCAAUGCAAGAUCCAAUAGUCCAAUUUUCUCUCCUCCAAAGAAUUUCUUUCCUCUCAGCUCCUUUUCCAAAUGCUUCAAGUUCUCUAUAGCUAGAGGUAUUGCUUCUUCUUGCUCCUUCCCUUGCUUCAAGAAUAUCCCAUAAACUAUUGACUGAAAGACCUGCAGCAGUCAAGAAAAACCUAAGUGUGUGUAUAUAUAUUUUUAUAUAUAAUAAGUACAUAACAAUAUUUUGUACCUUAGUGUCUAAGGAAAAACAGAGACAAAGACAAGAGGCCAUUAAUAAUACCUUAUCAUCACCAAACUUAGCCCAAAAGCGAGCUCUGGCUCGCUCAAGAGGAUCUUCAGGCAACAAUGGAUUCUGUUUCCAAGUCUCAUCUAUGUAUUCAAGAAUGACAAGUGAUUCACACAAUGGUUUUCCAUUGUGCAGAAGCACAGGAACUUUCUUGUAAACAGGAUUAUAUUGCAGAAGUAAAGGGCUCUUGUUAGAUAGAUCUUCAUAUACUGUUUCAUAUUCAAUCCCUUUGAGUUUUAAUGCCCAAACUGCUCUUAAAGCAAAUGAACUUGACCAUGUCCUAAAAACUUUCAAGUCUUCUCCCAUCUUUCUUUGGCCUUUUCUUGUUGUUCUCUCCUAAUUAUUUGUUAUUCUUGCUCACUCCCUUUUAUAAAGAAAUUCCUCACUUCCGAUUUCCCAUGCACCAUUUAUUUGCAUACAAAGAAUUCCUUAGUUCUAUUUUUGUCAUUCUUCUUGUAUUAUGUCAUAUUACAUCAAUCAGUCAUCAAAAUUUUGACAACUAAACAAAUAGGUUGAAUAUAUAUAUACUUUUUACAAAAAAAAUUUAUAGCACCCUCAUUUUUUUUUUUUUAACAUAUUGAACACUUUAAUUUAUAAAAUUAAAUUUAUUAAAUACUUCAAUUAACAUAUUAAAUAUUUCAAUUUAUAAAAUUAGAUUAAUUAAACAUUUAUUAAAUAAUUAAAAAAUAUGAAUUUUAUCAUUUCAAAAUCAACAUUUUACAUAUAAAAACUAAAAACCUUAAAUCGUUUUUAACGUGACGAGAUGUGAAAUUAUUAUAAAAAAAGAAGUCGAUGGUGUUACAAAGUCGAUUUUAAAGGUCAACUUGUCAUACUAUGUGCUUUUUAAAAUUUCAGGGUUAAAUUAUGUAUUUAGCCUAAAGAAAUAUUUACAGUGUUUUAGUGUAUAAUUUAUUUUUGUCCUAAUUCUGCAACCUUUGUAACGCCUCAAAUUUACGCAAGAAGUGACGUACAACAGCUUUAGACUUCUAGUCCAAGCCUCCGGUCUUCGUUCGAGUGGCUCAGUCUAUUUGGGCGGCUGUAUUUGAACUUCCGUCGUAUUUCACAAUAAUUUUUUAAUAGCUUUUUAGGAUUUUAAUCGGUUUAAAUAUUAAAUAUUAUUUUUUAUAAUGUUUGAUAAUAUAAUAUUAUUUUAAUUAAUUUAUAAAAAUUAUAAUAAUAUUUUAUAAAAAGCUAAUUCAUAAAAUAUUUAAUUUUUAACAUUUUAUAAAAAAUUAUUCAAACAGUUAAAUACUUAUAUACUAAAGCCAACAAUUAUCAAAAACAGUUAAUUUUGCAGAACAAAUUCUAAAAUUCAUUCUGAGGAGUUCCACUUGAUAAAUUGACAAAGAAGAACCAUAAAUUAUAAAUUUUAAUAAUUCAGAUCAAUAUGAUAUAGUACAGUACAAUUUAUAAGAGAUCAUUUAGUGUAAAUAAAUUUACAAAAUUUUAUUGAAUUUAUAUAUAAAUUAAAAUUUUAUUUAUUUAUAAAAUCAAUUAUUUACUAAUUUUGUAAAACCUAAAUCUAAAAUGGUAGUCAAUUCAAAUAUAAAGAUUUUGUCUUUCAAAUGAAAAUGAAUUACAUAUGAUUUUUAAAACAUAUUAUGUAAUAAUUCCCAGAAAUUUAUCGUAUCAUACAAAUUAAAACUUAUUCAAUGCCUUUUUGCUAACUUGGAAAGCUUUUCCUUAUCCUCUUUCAAUUUUUUCUUUUUUCUUUUUUCUUAUUUAAAAAAAAACAAUAGUUUCCUUUCGUUUGGAGAGGAAAGUUUCCUCUUUUACACUCGCUUUUCUGUUUAUAUCGAAGUGAUGUUAAAGUGGCAUUUAGAUGGAUAACAUUUAAAUCUUAUAAUUAGAGAUGUCCGUUGUUCAACGCAAACCGUUAAAUUAAAUCGGAUCAAAAAUCAAGUUAAAUAAAUUACUUUAAUUUAGUUAUUAUGAAAAAACAAUUUGGAUUAUAAAUUUUGAAAAACAAAAAGGUUUUGGUGUGAAAAUGCCUUCGAACUGCCCCAAACCAUACCAUACACACCCCUACUUGUCGUUCACGGACGGCACGAGCUACAAAAACCCCGUCUAACAUGAACGACGUGUCAUUUUAAGGACUAGGAGUUGCCCAAAUAGAACGACGUCGUUCUGUUGUUGAAAUAAAUCAACAAAAAAAAAAAAAAAUACCACCUGAAAAUUCGAGAAGAAAUCUUUCGUACACUCUGCAAACACAUGAACUAGAUUAAUCACAGACGCAAUGAACCCUGGCUAGAACAGAGAAAAAUCCAAGUAGAUUAAUGGAGGAUCCGAUUGUUAAAGUAGAACAGAAGUCGGCGGUGAUGGACAGGAAGGAUAAGAGGAGGGAGAGAAAGAAGAUAAAGAGGAAGCAAUUAAGGAGAGAGCUGGCCGAGAAGAGGAGAGAAGAGGAGGAGAGGAAAUUAAACGAUCCGGAGGAGCAGAGGAGAGCUAUGGAGAUGGAAGAAGAGGAGAGGCAAAGGAUGGAGAAAGAGAGAAAGGAAUUUGAGGAGCGAGAGAGAAAGUGGUUAGAAGAUAUGGAAAGAAAGAGGAAAGAAGAACAAGAAGAAGAAGAAGAAGAGGAAAGAAGGAAAGCUUUGGAAGUAGAGGAAAGAGCUAAGAGAUUGCAGGUAUAAUGGGUGAUUUUUUUUUUUUUUAAAUUUUCAUGUGAAUUUUAAUAUUUUUUUUUUUUACGAGAAUUUUUAAUAAUUGUAUUGUCUGUUGUGAUUUUGGCAUUUGUUUGGCUGCCGGGAUGGAAUAUUUAUUUGUUUCUUUUCUAAUUUUUUUUAAUCUCUUUGUUUUCUGUCUUUUUAAGUAGAUACGAAGUAAGGUGAAAGAAUGUCAUUGAAAAUUUUGAUUUCAAUGCCUCAAGAGUUAAAUUGAUUAGUUUUGAAUGGUUGAAUUAAUUGCUGUUGUUAGGGUUGCAUUAUUUUUUUUUGUUGGGAAAGGCAAGGGAAGGAGAA